rnacentral:rRNA from 1 species
UACAGAGGGGGCAAGCGUUGUUCGGAAUUACUGGGCGUAAAGGGCGCGUAGGCGGCCUGCUAAGUCGAACGUGAAUCCCCGGGCUCAACCCGGGACUGCGUCCGAUACUGGCAGGCUUGAAUCCGGGAGAGGGAUGUGGAAUUCCAGGUGUAGCGGUGAAAUGCGUAGAUAUCUGGAGGAACACCGGUGGCGAAGGCGGCAUCCUGGACCGGCAUUGACGCUGAGGCGCGAAGCCAGGGGAGCAA